ACUUUCAUUAAUUAAAAUUAGGUCUUUACAAUAGGAGAAUUUCGUAGAGCAGUCUUAGCUAAAGCAUCCGCCUGUUUAUUUUUUUUUUUUGAUACAAAUCUAAAACAAAUUUCUUCAAAAGAAGCAGAGAUAAUCAGAAUAUUAUAUGUUAAAUCUUGUAGAGUUCUUUCUAGUGAAUCUCCGAUUUAAUGACUUCAAUCAAUUGAAUUAAGUCUGAAGCUACAAAUUUUUUUGUGAACCCUUGUGACGAUGCUUGUCUCAGGGCGUCAAGCAUCUCAAGCUCUUCAGCCAUCAGUGGUGAUCCGACAUGCGGCACUGAAGUGGAGUCGAAUAUCUUGAUACCCGAUCUAUGAUUUGAGAAUUGACAGCAUAAUCCAACUUUAAGAGAGAUCGCAUCCCAAGCCGCAUCGUUUGGAGUAUCAACACAUCGGAUCUUAGGGUGGGGAUAUUCUCUUUAGGGCGAAUUUAUUUUGGUUCCUGGAUCGUUCCUUGGGCCUCCUGCCAUUCACGAGAUAGGUAUAACGCAGUUGAUACGGUUUCUCCCAGAGAGUUGUGACGUUUGGAAAAGAUAUGGUGGUUACGCUUUUUCCAGAUCUUCCAGAGAAUCCAAGGGUGAAUGGGCAUUGUCGAACUCCGGAAGGUGGCAAAGCGAUGGUGCCUUAGUGUUUCAAAACCCUCUCUAAUGGUAGUAAAAUGAUGCGGGUUCCUUGGUACUUUCAGAGGAGCGAAGUUCCAGUCUUCUUUGGUGAAUCUGCUAGAGAAGAAAAGGUGUAGAGUUGACUCAAGGUUUCCACAAAAAGGGCAGACCGCAUCUUUAUUCACAUUUCAUGCCCUCAAGUUUUCCCCCACCGGUAUUUUCUGGGCAGUGGACGUUGGUCUCAUAGUAACCAGAUUUUUCAGAGUAGAUACCAAAUAUCGUUGGUAGCCAGACUCCUUUGUUGCAGGAGAUGUCAGAUAUGCAACAGUCUGGGUUUUUGUAUCUUUCGGGAGAGGGCCCAUUGGUAUCAGUGGGGAGGUAAGAGAGAUCCAGGAAUAUGUUUAGAUAAGGGUAUCAUUCCCAUUACCGAUUACCUUCCUAGCUGUGAUUUCAGGAGCUCUUUGCCAAUUAGGAUUUCCCUUCAACCAUGAGAAGUGGAAGCAGGAGCUACACUGUCUAGGAACGGGGUAGUAUGGCAGUAUUUACCUAAGAGAACCUUUACCAAGAGACAAUCAGGGUUUUUCAAAAUUCUCCAGCUGAUGUUGGCCAGGAGAGCGUCAUUAAAGCUCUAUAAGUCUCUUAAACCUAGCUCGCCUUCUCCUUUUGCUCUUGUUAGCUUGUUCCACGAUACCUGAUAUAUCAUGGUUUUUGUGGUUUUUAACCAUGAUAUAAGGAGUCUUUUGAUUUGUUUUCUAG